rnacentral:rRNA from 1 species
AUUGAACGCUGGCGGCAUGCUUUACACAUGCAAGUCGAACGGCAGCGCGGGCUUCGGCCUGGCGGCGAGUGGCGAACGGGUGAGUAAUGCAUCGGAACGUGCCCAGUAGUGGGGGAUAGCCCGGCGAAAGCCGGAUUAAUACCGCAUACGACCUCAGGGUGAAGGCGGGGGACCGAAAGGCCUCGCGCUAUUGGAGCGGCCGAUGUCGGAUUAGCUAGUUGGUGGGUAAAGGCUUACCAAGGCGACGAUCCGUAGCUGGUCUGAGAGGACGACCAGCCACACUGGGACUGAGACACGGCCCAGACUCCUACGGGAGGCAGCAGUGGGGAAGUUUGGACAAUGGGGGCAACCCUGAUCCAGCCAUGCCGCGUGCGGGAAGAAGGCCUUCGGGUUGUAAACCGCUUUUGUUCGGGAAGAAAUCCUCUGGGCUAAUACCCCGGGGGGAUGACGUUACCGGAAGAAUAAGCACCGGCUAACUACGUG